ensembl:snRNA U6 U6 spliceosomal RNA
GUGCUUGCUUGGGCAUCACAUAUACUAAAAUUGGAACAAUAUAGAGAUUAGCAUAGCCCCUGCACAAGAAUGACAUGCAAAUUUGUGAAGCAUUCCAUAUUAAA